UUUAUGGAGAGUUUGAUCCUGGCUCAGGAUGAACGCUGGCGGCGUGCCUAAUACAUGCAAGUCGAGCGAACGGACGAGAAGCUUGCUUCUCUGAUGUUAGCGGCGGACGGGUGAGUAACACGUGGAUAACCUACCUAUAAGACUGGGAUAACUUCGGGAAACCGGAGCUAAUACCGGAUAAUAUUUUGAACCGCAUGGUUCAAAAGUGAAAGACGGUCUUGCUGUCACUUAUAGAUGGAUCCGCGCUGCAUUAGCUAGUUGGUAAGGUAACGGCUUACCAAGGCAACGAUGCAUAGCCGACCUGAGAGGGUGAUCGGCCACACUGGAACUGAGACACGGUCCAGACUCCUACGGGAGGCAGCAGUAGGGAAUCUUCCGCAAUGGGCGAAAGCCUGACGGAGCAACGCCGCGUGAGUGAUGAAGGUCUUCGGAUCGUAAAACUCUGUUAUUAGGGAAGAACAUAUGUGUAAGUAACUGUGCACAUCUUGACGGUACCUAAUCAGAAAGCCACGGCUAACUACGUGCCAGCAGCCGCGGUAAUACGUAGGUGGCAAGCGUUAUCCGGAAUUAUUGGGCGUAAAGCGCGCGUAGGCGGUUUUUUAAGUCUGAUGUGAAAGCCCACGGCUCAACCGUGGAGGGUCAUUGGAAACUGGAAAACUUGAGUGCAGAAGAGGAAAGUGGAAUUCCAUGUGUAGCGGUGAAAUGCGCAGAGAUAUGGAGGAACACCAGUGGCGAAGGCGACUUUCUGGUCUGUAACUGACGCUGAUGUGCGAAAGCGUGGGGAUCAAACAGGAUUAGAUACCCUGGUAGUCCACGCCGUAAACGAUGAGUGCUAAGUGUUAGGGGGUUUCCGCCCCUUAGUGCUGCAGCUAACGCAUUAAGCACUCCGCCUGGGGAGUACGACCGCAAGGUUGAAACUCAAAGGAAUUGACGGGGACCCGCACAAGCGGUGGAGCAUGUGGUUUAAUUCGAAGCAACGCGAAGAACCUUACCAAAUCUUGACAUCCUUUGACAACUCUAGAGAUAGAGCCUUCCCCUUCGGGGGACAAAGUGACAGGUGGUGCAUGGUUGUCGUCAGCUCGUGUCGUGAGAUGUUGGGUUAAGUCCCGCAACGAGCGCAACCCUUAAGCUUAGUUGCCAUCAUUAAGUUGGGCACUCUAAGUUGACUGCCGGUGACAAACCGGAGGAAGGUGGGGAUGACG
rnacentral:rRNA from 1 species